AGUCUAAUCUGCCCNAUGAAUUUUUUAAAUGGCUGCAAUUAAAUGUACUAAGGUAGCAUAAUAAUUUGUUUUUUAAUUAAAAACUAGAAUGAAAGAUUAAAUGAAAUAUAAACUGUUUCAAUUAAAUUUAAAUUAAAUUUUUUAUUUAAGUAAAAAAACUUAAAUAAAUUUUAAAGACGACAAGACCCUAUAGAAUUUUAUUUAUUUUUUUUUUAUUAAAAAAAAAAUAAAUUUU
rnacentral:rRNA from 1 species